rnacentral:rRNA from 1 species
UCCCAGACUCCUACGGGAGGCAGCAGUGGGGGAUAUUGCACAAUGGGGGGAACCCUGAUGCAGCAACGCCGCGUGAGUGAAGAAGUAUUUCGGUAUGUAAAGCUCUAUCAGCAGGGAAGAGAAUGACGGUACCUGACUAAGAAGCCCCGGCUAACUACGUGCCAGCAGCCGCGGUAAUACGUAGGGGGCGAGCGUUAUCCGGAUUUACUGGGUGUAAAGGGAGCGUAGACGGUUCUGCAAGUCUGAAGUGAAAGCCCGUGGCUUAACCGCGGAACGGCUUUGGAAACUGUGGAACUGGAGUGCUGGAGAGGCAAGCGGAAUUCCUAGUGUAGCGGUGAAAUGCGUAGAUAUUAGGAGGAACACCAGUGGCGAAGGCGGCUUACUGGACUGUAACUGACGUUGAGGCUCGAAAGCGUGGGGAGCAAACAGGAUUAGAUACCCCUGUACC